CCGACGGUGAGAGGUGAAAGCUGGGGGCACGAACCGGAUUAGAUACCCGGGUAGUCCCAGCCGUAAACGAUGCUCGCUAGGUGUCUGGGAUGGUGCGACCGUUUCAGGUGCCGCAGGGAAGCCGUGAAGCGAGCCACCUGGGAAGUACGGCCGCAAGGCUGAAACUUAAAGGAAUUGGCGGGGGAGCACUACAACGGGUGGAGCCUGCGGUUUAAUUGGACUCAACGCCGGAAAACUCACCUGGGGC
rnacentral:rRNA from 1 species